AUCGGAGGUAUUGAUCAAUAGGAACAGACGGGGUCAUUCGUACUGAGACGCUAGAGGUGAAAUUCUUGGACCGUCGCAGGACGAACUACUGCGAAAGCAUUUGCCAAGAAUGUUUUCAUUGAUCAAGAACGAAAGUCAGAGGUUCGAAGGCGAUACAUACUGCUGUAGUUGUGACCGAAAACUAUGCCAGCCAGCGAUCCGGUGAUGUUUGAGAAAGGACACGCCGGGCAGCUUCCGUGAAACCAGAGCCUUCUGGGUUCCGGGGAAAGUAUGGUUGCAAAACUGAAACUUAAAGGAAUUGAUGAAAGGGUAUUACCAGGGAUAGAUUCUGCUGCUCAAUUUGAUUCAACACGGGAAAACUCAACCGGUCCGGACACGGCAAGGAUUGACAGAUUAAUGGCUCUUUCUUGAUUCCGUGGGUGGUGGUGCAUGGUCGUUUUUAGUUCGUGGGCAUGACCUGUCUGGUUAAUUCCAAUAACGAGCGAGACUCUUGCCUGCUAAAUAGGCUAUUCCGUGAUGUUUCACAGAAAGAUAGUCUUCUUAGAGGAACAAGCGGUUUCGAGCCACACGAAAAAGAGCAAAAACAGGUCAGUGAUGUCCGGGGCCGCACGCGCAAUACGAUGAAGGCGGCAGCGUGUGCUUUUUUUCCCUGGCCAAGAGGUCCGGGCAACCCGAUGAAACGCCUUUGUGCUGGGGACUGUAACUGGCCCCUUGAACAAGGAAUCCCUAGUUGGCUCGAGUCAUUAACUCGUGCCGACUAAGUCCCUGCUCUUUUUACAUAUUGCCCAUCGUUAAUACCUAUUGAGUGGUUCGGUGAGGUCUUCGAACCUGCGCCUGCGUUCCUUAAUGGACACGAGGUGUCGGAAAGAUGAUCGAACUCGAUCACUUAGAGGAAUUACAAGUCGUAAUAAGAUUUCCGUAGGUGAACCUGCGGAAGGAUCAUU